rnacentral:rRNA from 1 species
UACGUAGGUGGCAAGCGUUGUCCGGAUUUACUGGGCGUAAAGGAUGCGUAGGCGGACAUUUAAGUCAGAUGUGAAAUGCCCGAGCUUAACUUGGGUGCUGCAUUUGAAACUGGGUGUCUAGAGUGCAGGAGAGGUAAGUGGAAUUCCUAGUGUAGCGGUGAAAUGCGUAGAGAUUAGGAAGAACACCAGUGGCGAAGGCGACUUACUGGACUGUAACUGACGCUGAGGCAUGAAAACGUGGGGAGCAAACAGG